rnacentral:rRNA from 1 species
AUACGUAGGUGGCAAGCGUUGUCCGGAAUUAUUGGGCGUAAAGCGCGCGCAGGCGGUCUUUUAAGUCUGAUGUGAAAUCACGCGGCUCAACCGCGUGCGGUCAUUGGAAACUGGGAGACUUGAGCGCAGAAGAGAAGAGCGGAAUUCCACGUGUAGCGGUGAAAUGCGUAGAGAUGUGGAGGAACACCAGUGGCGAAGGCGGCUCUUUGGUCUGUAACUGACGCUGAGGCGCGAAAGCGUGGGGAGCAAACAGGAUUAGAUACCCUGGUAGUCCACGCCGUAAACGAUGAGUGCUAAGUGUUAGAGGGUUUCCGCCCUUUAGUGCUGCAGUAAACGCAUUAAGCACUCCGCCUGGGGAGUACGGCCGCAAGGCUGAA